rnacentral:rRNA from 1 species
CAGCCGCCGCGGUAAUACGUAGGGUGCGAGCGUUAAUCGGAUUUACUGGGCGUAAAGCGUGCGCAGGCGGCCCGUUAAGACAGGUGUGAAAUCCCUGGGCUCAACCUAGGAAUUGCGCUUGUGACUGGCGGGCUCGAGUACGGUAGAGGGGGGUGGAAUUCCUGGUGUAGCAGUGAAAUGCGUAGAGAUCAGGAGGAACACCGAUGGCGAAGGCAGCCCCCUGGGCCUGUACUGACGCUCAUGCACGAAAGCGUGGGGAGCAAACAGGAUUAGAUACCCUGGUAGUCCACGCCCUAAACGAUGGGUACUAGCCGUUUGGUGCGCGAUAGCGCUGAGUGGCGAAGCUAACGCGUUAAGUCCGCCGCCUGGGGAGUACGGCCGCAAGGCUGAAACUUAAAGGAAUUGGCGGG